AAAUUGAAGAGUUUGAUCAUGGCUCAGAUUGAACGCUGGCGGCAGGCCUAACACAUGCAAGUCGAGCGGUAGCACAGAGAGCUUGCUCUCGGGUGACGAGCGGCGGACGGGUGAGUAAUGUCUGGGAAACUGCCUGAUGGAGGGGGAUAACUACUGGAAACGGUAGCUAAUACCGCAUAACGUCGCAAGACCAAAGAGGGGGACCUUCGGGCCUCUUGCCAUCAGAUGUGCCCAGAUGGGAUUAGCUAGUAGGUGGGGUAACGGCUCACCUAGGCGACGAUCCCUAGCUGGUCUGAGAGGAUGACCAGCCACACUGGAACUGAGACACGGUCCAGACUCCUACGGGAGGCAGCAGUGGGGAAUAUUGCACAAUGGGCGCAAGCCUGAUGCAGCCAUGCCGCGUGUAUGAAGAAGGCCUUCGGGUUGUAAAGUACUUUCAGCGGGGAGGAAGGUGUUGAGGUUAAUAACCUCAGCAAUUGACGUUACCCGCAGAAGAAGCACCGGCUAACUCCGUGCCAGCAGCCGCGGUAAUACGGAGGGUGCAAGCGUUAAUCGGAAUUACUGGGCGUAAAGCGCACGCAGGCGGUCUGUCAAGUCGGAUGUGAAAUCCCCGGGCUCAACCUGGGAACUGCAUUCGAAACUGGCAGGCUAGAGUCUUGUAGAGGGGGGUAGAAUUCCAGGUGUAGCGGUGAAAUGCGUAGAGAUCUGGAGGAAUACCGGUGGCGAAGGCGGCCCCCUGGACAAAGACUGACGCUCAGGUGCGAAAGCGUGGGGAGCAAACAGGAUUAGAUACCCUGGUAGUCCACGCCGUAAACGAUGUCGACUUGGAGGUUGUGCCCUUGAGGCGUGGCUUCCGGAGCUAACGCGUUAAGUCGACCGCCUGGGGAGUACGGCCGCAAGGUUAAAACUCAAAUGAAUUGACGGGGGCCCGCACAAGCGGUGGAGCAUGUGGUUUAAUUCGAUGCAACGCGAAGAACCUUACCUACUCUUGACAUCCAGAGAACUUUCCAGAGAUGGAUUGGUGCCUUCGGGAACUCUGAGACAGGUGCUGCAUGGCUGUCGUCAGCUCGUGUUGUGAAAUGUUGGGUUAAGUCCCGCAACGAGCGCAACCCUUAUCCUUUGUUGCCAGCGGUUAGGCCGGGAACUCAAAGGAGACUGCCAGUGAUAAACUGGAGGAAGGUGGGGAUGACGUCAAGUCAUCAUGGCCCUUACGAGUAGGGCUACACACGUGCUACAAUGGCGCAUACAAAGAGAAGCGACCUCGCGAGAGCAAGCGGACCUCAUAAAGUGCGUCGUAGUCCGGAUUGGAGUCUGCAACUCGACUCCAUGAAGUCGGAAUCGCUAGUAAUCGUAGAUCAGAAUGCUACGGUGAAUACGUUCCCGGGCCUUGUACACACCGCCCGUCACACCAUGGGAGUGGGUUGCAAAAGAAGUAGGUAGCUUAACCUUCGGGAGGGCGCUUACCACUUUGUGAUUCAUGACUGGGGUGAAGUCGUAACAAGGUAACCGUAGGGGAACCUGCGGUUGGAUCACCUCCUUACCUUAAAGAA
rnacentral:rRNA from 2 species